AACGAUAUAUUUGCUGCAUGGUUUUAUUCAAUACACGUAUGUGCAAGGGAUGAACAAUUCCAGGAUUAAGAAUAUAUAACCUGUAUACUGCAGCUUACACGUAGCUGUGGUAAAGAAAUUGAAAUAGACGUUGUCUCGUCAUAUGAUUGAACUUCAAUACAUCUUGCAAUAUCCGGGAUUUAUGCAAUAUCCGGGAUUUAUGUUACAAGUGUUUUAGUGUUUUAAGAAAUUCGAUCAAAUGAGAAGUUUAUAUUAGGCCAUCACGCUCUGCAGCUUUAGAGACAUUACGGUAUAUCUGUGACUUGCGGUUUUUGUGAAGACGAGCAUUCCUUACAACAGACUGUAUCUGCUAUUAUAGUUUUCAAAGUCUCGAAUAUCGUUCGUGUUUCCCGACAUUUCCCGGAAAACUUACCUGUGUGAUUAGCCUCCAGUGUUAACCGGUUGUGCACUCUGUUGUAAUUGGAUUGUUUAAUUCUGAGCAAACAUGGGGAAUUUGUGUACUAAAAAGCAGAAAGUGGCCAAGACUACGACUUCGGAAGAAGGUUU